rnacentral:rRNA from 1 species
AACGAACGCUGGCGGCAGGCCUAACACAUGCAAGUCGAACGCUCCGCAAGGGGAGUGGCGCACGGGUGAGUAACACGUGGGAAUCUAACUUAUAGUAUGGGAUAACAGUUGGAAACGACUGCUAAUACCAUAUACGCCCUGAGGGGGAAAGAUUUAUCGCUAUAAUAUGCGCCCGCGUCUGAUUAGUUUGUUGGUGGGGUAAUGGCCUACCAAGACUACGAUCGGCAGCUGGUCUGAGAGGAUGAUCAGCCACACUGGGACUGAGACACGGCCAAGACUCCUACGGGAGGCAGCAGUGGGGAAUAUUGGAAAAUGGGCGCAAUCCUGAUCCAGCCAUGCCGCGUGAGUGAUGAAGGCCUUAGGGUUGUAAAGCGCUUUCGCCGCUGAAGAUAAUGACGGUAAGCGGAAAAGAAGCCCCGGCUAACUUCGUGCCAGCCGCCGCGGUAAGAC